rnacentral:misc_RNA from 1 species
AGAGAGAGAGAGAGAGAGAGAGUGCAUUGAAGGCUUGGCAUGAGCAACUGUGGUUUCGAGAAUAUAAGCCUUUUACUAUUAGUCUUGACAAUGCGCUUCUCUCUAAAUUUAAGAACUUCAGUAUGCUUUUCUUCUAAGGAAUAAGUUGGUUUGUAUUUGAGACUCAUUUUUCUGAUACACGGGUAUCAAGUGUUUUCCAUAUUCAUCUACAUGAAAAGGUGAAAUAAGAUCAAGUAUUGAUUUUCUGUUGUUUGCAGCUGUUGGUAUUUCCUCACUUGGCAUUAGUUCAUAUCUUAAGAAAUGUGAUUCUUUCUAUAGGUCGUUCAAAUGCCAUCAACAUAUCUGAAAAGUUGGGACUGCCGGGCAUAGUUAUUAGUAAUGCCCGAGAAUUAUAUGGUGCUGCUAGUGCAGAGAUUAAUGAGGUAACAAGCACAAUUUAAAAAAAAAAAGUUUGUUUUUAACUAAGAUUGAAAUUGGUUUCCAGCCCACAGUAUUCAUUUGAAAUUGGUUUGUUUCUACCUCGCCUUUAGAAAUAUCUACUGCAAUUUUCCAUUUGACUGCAUGAAUAUGCAAUGGAAACCCUAUGCAUUUUUUGACCGAUAGUUAUUGAAUUUAAGCCAAUUCCAACAAGAUUGGGAUCAAGAUAGUUUUGGUCUGUAUGCUGCUUAGUUGUGAGUUUCAGCAGAAGUUUGUUGUUUUAACUGUGUUAUUGUGUAAUAUAGGUAGAGGUCACACUAGUUUUUCAAAGAAGAAAAUCGUAAGCAUGUGAGAAGAUUGUAUAUAUAUAUAUAUUUUUGUUGGAGUUUUAUCAUUUUCAACCCAUCAGUUUACUGGAUGAUAGAUUCAUUGUUCUCUUCAACUGUCAACUAUAAUCCUUGCAAUAUCUUACAGGUCAUAAUUGAUAUGGAAAGAUUCAAGCAAGAUUUUCAAGAGCUUUUAGAUGAGGCACAACUUCAUCUGAUGUGAGAAUCUAUGGCUUAAAGUCUUUGGAAAAUUGUUCUUGUAAGGUCAAUCAGGGUUAAUUUGGAGAAAAAAAAAAAAUUUAUAAUAGUAAUGGCCAAUAUCUGUGUACUCUGCCUGUCAAUGUGCCUAUACAGGCCUAAGCUGUUUGUCAUUUUUUUAAAUAAAAAUUUUAAAUUAGUGUAUUUCUAUAAAAUUUUCAUUUCACAAUAUGGCAUUUCACUGUAGUAGGAAAUUAACCUCAUGUAUGCACGCAUGCUUACAUCCAUUCGGUACAUACUCAAGUUUUUAUCCUGUGGAAGGAUCUAUAUGUUUUGGUAGCAACAACUACGAAGUCUUUUUCUGAGCAGUAUGUCUCAGUAUGGUCAUAAUGAACUAAUAUGUAAUCUCUGCUAUUUUAAUAGACACAAUAAUCACGUUUUUUAAUUCAAUUUAACAGGGCUCAAGAGCCAUGGUUUAUAUUUUAAGUUAUUCUCCACCAUGGUAUACUUGUUUUUAUUGAUAAAGAUUAGUCUUCAAAUUUCAAAAUCAUCUUUAUGAGUUCAUUUUCUUUUUCCCUUAAAAGAAGAUGAACUAACUUUUUCUUCGUGGCAAGUGAUGCAAGUCCAACAUUUUUUUUUUGGUAAACAUUUAUUAUAUAACAUUGAUUCUCACUGUUUAAAUGUUGCUUAGUAAAGAUGAAUCUGUAUGCUUGUGGAUGCUAAUCUAAUAUUCUAAUAUCUGUCUUUUUACCGCAGGCUCUCAAGAAAUCUUCAUGAAAAACUAUUGCUGGCCGGAAGGAAGAUUGUGGAGCAUGGUUCUGGUCAAAGACACUGGAAGAUGCAAGAAAUCUCCAAGGCUGCUGCUGUGGCACGCUCUACCCUUCACAAGAAAGUGCGGCACCUUCGUGCAUACUUAGCAAAACCUUCUGAGCCCCCUACAGCCAAUAAAAGAAAACUUUUGACAAGUGACCAAUGUCCUACAGUUGAUAAUAGUGGAAAUACCACAGCAAGUAGAAGUUCAUCUGCAGUUGAAAUUAGAACACAAUCACCAUCAGUAAGGACUGAGCUUCCUCAGGUUGGUGAUACAGUGUAUGUUUCAUCCCUAGGAAGAAAAGCAACAGUUUUGAGAGUGGAUCAAUCUAAAGAAGAAAUAGUAGUUCAAGCUGGCAACAUGAAGUUGAAAUUGAAAUUAAUGGAUAUUGGGACUUGAAUGGUAAGAAAUAAGCUGACAUGUCUGUCUGCCUAGUUAAGUUGGUCCAUAACUAUGUUACUUGAUUCAGAGAUGAAUAUAUGAUAUGGGCAUGUGUCCAGGAGUCAGAGUUGGCUGCUUUCUGAAAUCUUCAUAGAUUAGUUCAGUGAAUGUUUACAUCUUUACAUUGGUGUAUAAGUAGUAGCUUAUGAAUACCGGUAUGGAUGUUGCUCCAGCUUUUUUUUUCCAAGUACUUAAAAUGUUGUUUGUAUGUUUGUGUGCUUGUAUAUUGCUGUUUUUUCUUUUUGUAGACUUGUAUGCCAAACCCUGGGAAGAAGGGAUUUUGUUGAACAACAUUGCAACAUCAUCUUUAGGCAAAAGGAAGAAAGGAAUGACUGCUGUAUACAGGGCUGCAAACAAUUGAAAAUUGACAUUUAAAAGAUGGAGGGAAACGAAGAUUUGCAAAAUUACUUCCGAGAAUGUGGCACCAGAGAGUGUGGACAACAUCAGUGAAAUUACCUUCCUGCAUGUAUAGUCUGAAAGACUCGAGUUGUUCACGUCGAAGAUCCUGAAGGAGACCUAAUGAUGCUAGGUGUUCUUUCAGUACAAUUUGUUUAAAGAUGAGUAAAAUGACUUGCUAGUUGCAAAGUGUUAUCAGAAAUAUAAAACGGUUGCUUGUUUAUUCAAUUUGCUGUUUUCCAAUUUGUUUUUGUGUUUUUUUGCUGUUUUCUUAGGUUAUGACCAUAUAUUUUCUUCUGGUUCAUUUUGAGUUUCACCCCUUGUAGGGUAAAUUCCUUGCAUGAGUAAGUGUUACUUGAUA